rnacentral:misc_RNA from 1 species
UUUGUUUAUACAACAUAGAAUAAUAUAUAUCUUUGUUUAAUCCAUGUCAAUAUAUAUAUUAUUUUUUAUAUUAUUUGAAUAAAACAUUCAAAUAAUAUAAACAUUUAAAAAAUAAAUUCAAGAUUUAAAGUAUAAAAUAAAAACCCUGGCAAUAAC